GUGUCAGCCGCCGCGGUAAUACGUAGGGUCCAAGCGUUAUCCGGAAUCACUGGGCGUAAAGCGUGCGUAGGUGGCGCGUUAAGUGAGACGUUAAAUCGUGUGGCUCAACCAUAUCGAUGCGUCUCAUACUGGCGUGCUAGAGGACAGCAGAGGCAAGCGGAAUUACGAGUGUAGCGGUAAAAUGCGUAGAUAUUCGUAGGAACACCAAUGGCGAAGGCAGCUUGCUGGGCUACUCCUGACACUGAGGUACGAAAGCGUGGGGAGCGAACAGGAUUAGAUACCCUGGUAGUCC
rnacentral:rRNA from 1 species